rnacentral:misc_RNA from 1 species
CCUGACUCCUGAUUCAGGUAACUAUUUGUCCAAAAAUCAUUCCUCUUAAAUCUUAGUUAAAGACAAAAUGGCACCACCACUAGACAACGAUAUGCAAAUCAACCAGCUACUGCCAUGAAGAAAGCAUGCGCUUGUGUGACAAACCCAUUAAUCACGCUAUCAAAAUUGGGCCAUUUCCUUUCUUUGCAUAUAUAUGCACACCCGCACACCCUUCCACUAGUUGUGUAUGUAUACAUGUAAUGCACAUGCACACACCAAAAAUACAAAGCAUCAUAAGGAAUCAUACUAUGUGUAUCAGAUAUAUAGGAUUCUAUUCCCAAUCCCAAAGAAAUAUAAUGCGUCUCCAUCCCAUGUUUUGUCCAUUUCACAUUCCCUCCUCUUUCCACGUGCACCUGGACAGGUAUGAUCCCAAGCCAUGCUGCAUUCAUCCAGGAGACCGACAAACUUAGGGGGAAAAUUUUAGCCUCCUAUGAUAUACUCUGCAUAACAUGUAAUUCAUGAAUUGUUCCUUUUAUGGUUCUAUGAUCUUGCAAUAAUCUUGUGAAAAUGCAGUAUUCAAGAAUGAGGUAUGUUGCUUGCAGAUAUGUUAUUGGUGUUCAAAUAACAGACAACAUUCCCACAAAACCAAGAAGGGAAAAAUGAAAGAUAUGCUACUGCUUUUGCUAGUACUCCUCUAUCACUGUAUUAAUUGUUAGCAUACUACAAAGCAAAAACAUGUAGCAUCCACAUUGAGACGAGAGAUCUCAAUUGCUUAAUUUUCAUUUAAAGCAGACUAGGAAAUCAACUAAUACUUAUUUCUGGGAAUCUGUAUGCUGGUAAGAGAAAAUAUUGAUUGCAAUUGUCUUGAAACAUGCACGAUGUAAUUCAUAAAUCUUAAUCUGAAGAAGCAUACAAAUUUCUCCCACAACGGUCACAUGUUGAAGAACCAGCUGGGGAAGCCUUUUCUGGUUUGGCUUUCCGCAUGUUUGGUAAAUCAAGUUUCAGAACUUCAGACAGCGCCGUUGAGCCUUCUUGCAGCUCAUCCAAACUAAUAGAGAGUGGAGGAGUUAGCCGGACAAUAGUGUCAUGUGUGGGCUUAGCAAGAACUCCCCUCUCCUUCAACCUCAGACAAAUAUCAUAUGCAGAAAUGGGGGAUAAAUUCUUGCUGUUGAACUCCACAGCAUUGAACAAACCUCUUCCUCGAACUUCCUUAAUGUAGUCAGGAAACUGCUGCUGAACCUUAAGUAGCUGAUGCCUGAAAUCCUCACCCAAAUUGGCAGAUCUAUAGAAUUGAAGAAAAUUCAGUCAUGUAUGCAUGAGUUCUUCUGAAAAGAAAAUUUGAAAACAAAAGGUAGAAGAAAAUGGAUAAGUAAUGUCUUCAUGUCAAAAGCUGCUUCCAGGGACCGUACACUGGAAAAUUCACUUAAAAGACUUAGCAUCUAUAUUAGAACUUCUAAAAUGAACGCAAAACAUCAAAACAAAAGAAAUAAAUUAUCAUGCAAAGAUUGACCAAGUUUGGUUUCCCAAAAUAUAACACAUUGAGAUGCACUUCACCAAACAAAUCCAUUGAACUUUCUUAUUGUUAAAAUCUGGUCUUAGUAAUUUUAAUAAGUGGAGUUUGUUCAAACUUCUAUUUUCUCUAAAUUUUCACAUAAUUUCAAUUACAAAGAGCAACCAUUUAUGAAGAAUCAGUUCUUCCUAAAAAUCUUUAUGAUAUCUUUAUCUAAUGGAUAUAAUACCUUUCUGCCAGCUGCUCAUAUUUGAUCACAUCUAGUGAGGCAAUGGCAACUGCACUGGCCAAAGGAUUUCCCCCAAAUGUGCUUCCAUGCUCUCCUGGUCGAAUACAAAGCAUUACAUCUUUGUCCGCCAGGACCGCGCUUACAGGUAUUACUCCACCACCCAAUGCUUUUCCUAGUAUCUGAGCAGAGCAACCAUGGAUGAAGUUAUUUUAUAUAUGGAGGCACAAAAGACAAAUUUAUAAUAUGGUUGAAUUACUGUAAUUGUUUUGUAUUCAUAAAUGUUAGUCACUCCCAAUCUAUAGCUGGCCAUAAUAAACACAGAAUAUCAUAAUACAGGUCAUUGUGAAGCCAAAUUAUUGCCAAUAUUCAUAUAAUCGGCUCUAAAUCAACUCCAUACACUGUUGGUGCUGAUAGUAGACCACAUUUCUGUAAUGCAUGUUCAGAAUUGAAUGUGACUGGCUGACUGCUCUAAAACCAACUCACAAUAUUUAGAAAAAAUCAACAGAAAUCAGCAUGUGAACCAUUUUUUAAGGAAUAAUAUGUCAUCUAUUAAUGCAGGCAUACAUUUUUUUUUCCAUACAAUAAAGAUAUGUUGUUCUGAACUGAUUUGGAAAUUCACCUACUGCAGAUAAUCAAGUGCUCAAUAUAGAAUAAGGCACAAAAAAUUUGUAUUGAACAUAGAAUAGGGAACAGAAAGUGCACUACGUUCGUAUCCAAUGCCUGGGAAACCCAUCAAAAUUCAAAGGAAGACAAAACAGCCUUACUACUACAUCAGGGCGAACUUGUUCCCAAUCACAAGCCAGCAUUUUUCCUGUACGUGCUAAGCCACUUUGAAUUUCAUCAGCAAUCAUUAGAACAUUAUAUUUUGAACAAAGAUCUCUUACAGCUUUUAGAUAACCAUCCGGGGGAAUUAUAACCCCUGCCUCUCCUUGAAUGGGUUCAAAAAGAAAUCCAGCUAUUUGACCUCCUUUUUCUUUGAAGAUUUUCUCUAGGGCAACUUCAUCACCAAAAUCAACCUUGAGAUGUCCAGGCAACAAUGGUCCAAAACCCCGAGUUGCCUCAUUGUCACAGCUCAUAGAGAUGACAGCCAAUGUACGACCAUGGAAACAGCCGCAACAAGAGACAAUAAUGGCCUCAUCUUUAGGAAUUUGUUUCUUCUGGUAUCCCCAUUUCCUAGCCAACUUGAGAGCUGUUUCCACACCCUCAGCACCAGUAUUCAUUGGUAGCACCAUAUCAUAGCCAAACAUGCUUGUUAGGCGCUCUGCAAACAUUGGAAAUCUAUCAUUAUAGAAGGCUCUAGAGCUCAGAGUAAGUUUCUCUGCCUGGUCUUGUAACGCUUUCAUUAUCUUUGGAUGACAAUGUCCCUGAUUAACUGCAGAGUAAGCGGAAAGGAAAUCUAGAUAUUUGUUGCCUUCAGGAUCCCAUAUAGAGGAACCCUUUGCUUGAGAAAACACAAUAGGAACUGGAUGGUAACUAGAUUGAACCACGGGGAAGAAAAAGCGAGUUUUAAUCGGCAAGAAAAGCUCAAUAUAUUACACCAAAAAACAUAUAGUUAAAUAAGUAAUCAAUUGAAAAGCGAAAUCCCAGAAAGCGAAACAAGAAAAAGAAUUGAGAUGUUAUGAUUAUUAGAUAAGAAUUAUUCACUAAUGGAAUGAACAAAUGAUGAGAGAGACAGAGAGAGAAAGGGAGAGAUUACUUGUGGGCGCUGAAUUCAUACUCCAAGCUGAUGAGUUGUUGAGAAGAGGAAGAAGUGGUUCCUUCAGGAAGAGCACCAUAACUUCUCCUAGUCUCCCUGCAAACUCUGUUAAACAAACACUGGAGAGGUCUCUUGGAAGAUGCCAUUGAUGAUGAUGAUAGUGUUAUCGUUAAUAAUUAAGAGUAGGUGGAAAGAUCCUGUGUAAAUAAGUUACAAAAUCUGUUCCACGGCUUCUUAUGGAUUUAUAUACCAGCUUGAUGUUAGUGCGUUCUUUUCCGUAUCUGUUCGAAAGAACUUGUUACCUGUUGCUGUUUACGUUUGCCUAUGAAUAUGAUUGUCGUCAUUUUUGUGCGGUGAUCCGACUCCCAAAGCAA